GGCGCCCGCCGGCUUGGUCCCCACUGCAGAGACGGAGUCGUGAGUGCUGCCACCGUUGGAGGAAGCCUCUUAAAGGGCCAGUCACUUUCCCCCCUUCCCCAGACAUGCUGCCGCUGCC